rnacentral:tRNA from 1 species
GGACCGUUAGCUCAGCUGGUAGAGCAGCAGACUCUUAAUCUGCGGGUCGGAAGUUCGAUCCUUCCACGGUUCA